UACGUAGGCAGCAAGCGUUGUUCGGAGUUACUGGGCGUAAAGGGUGUGUAGGCGGUUGCCUAAGUUUGGUGUGAAAUCUCCUGGCUCAACCGGGAGGGUGCGCCGAAAACUGGGUGACUAGAGUGUGGGAUGGGUAAGUGGAAUUCCUGGUGUAGCGGUGAAAUGCGUAGAUAUCAGGAGGAACACCGGUGGUGUAGACGGCUUACUGGACCAUAACUGACGCUGAGACACGAAAGCGUGGGUAGCAAACAGG
rnacentral:rRNA from 1 species